AUUUUAGAGAGUUUGAUCCUGGCUCAGGACGAACGCUGGCGGCGUGCCUAACACAUGCAAGUCGAACGGACGAGAAGGUGCUUGCACCUUCAAGUUAGUGGCGGACGGGUGAGU
rfam:Eubacteriaceae bacterium CHKCI005 isolate CHKC5 genome assembly, contig: {contig11}